UAAAAAAAAUCUAUCUCUCAGUUUUGAAAGGUUUUGGGUGAAAGUGUUUUACUACACUCGGAAAGUUACUAAAUGAACUGCAAGUUGUGUGUAGUAUCCUACCUAAACGCUUGUUUCGCUCGACAUUUAGCGAUAAAUCUAUGUCUCCUAAAAAUCUUGAUGAACACGUUUCAAUUCUUACUAGUAUGAAAGACAACUUGCAAUCACAACGGACUCUCAACGCGUCUAAAGCUCUUUUACUUUCCACCGUGUUGGGAUACAUAAAAGUAAAGUCAAAAUUAAGUAUCAAAGACAAAGCCCUUUUCAAUUUCUACUAAAGUAGUUUUUUCGACAGUUAGCGUGGCAGGAAGAAAUAUAUGUGAACUCGGUCUUCCUUUCCAUGUUGCCAUUGUAGAUGAAGCCACGCCAGUUCUUGAGCCUGAAAUAGCUAUAAUUUUAUCUCAGUGUUACCUUAAGUCCCUGGUUUUAGUAGGUAUGCCACGCAUUAAAGUAACUGAUGAGAUUACAGUGAAAGUGGUUACUCUCAAAUGCUUUCUUUUGUUAUUUUUUUACAUGCAUGAUUAGGCAAUGAGGAUCAGUUGCCGCCACUUGUAUUUUCUAAUAAACUUAAAAGUCUUGACUACCUUGGCAUGUUCCAAAGACUUAUUUUACUCGGCUAUCCUUGUUCCCGCCUCGGCGUCCAGAACCGUAUGCACCCAAAAAUAAGCAAAUGGCCGUGCAAGACUUUUUACAAAGGUAAAUUAAAGGUAAAAUUCUAUAUUAUUAAAUACUGAGUUUUUAUUAUUAAUUUAAAUAUGAGAAGAUGGCGUAAUUGUUCUCUCAGGCCUGUAUUUAAGUCUAUCAAACAAUAAGAUUCGAAAUAUUAUGGUCUACAAUAUGGAGCUUAGUAGUCCCGAGACGGUU